rnacentral:rRNA from 1 species
GCGAAAACUUUACAGUGCUGGCAACAGCGAUAAGGGAACCUCGAGUGCCAGGUUACAAAUCUGGCUGUCGAGAUGCCUAAAAAGCAUUUCAUAGCAAGGGCCGGGCAAGACCGGUGCCAGCCGUCGCGGUAACACCGGCGGCUCGAGUGGUAACCGUUAUUAUUGGGUCUAAAGGGUCUGUAGCCGGCCGGAUAAGUCUCUUGAGAAAUCUGGCAGCUUAACUGUCAGGCUUUCAGGAGAUACUGUCUGGCUCGAGGCCGGGAGAGGUGAGAGGUACUUCAGGGGUAGGGGUGAAAUCUUGUAAUCCUUGAAGGACCACCAGUGGCGAAGGCGUCUCACCAGAACGGACCUGACGGCAAGGGACGAAAGCUAGGGGCACGAACC